rnacentral:tRNA from 2 species
GCGGGUAUAGUAUAUCGGUUAUUAUAUUGGUUUUCCAAACCAAGGAGGCGGGUUCGAUUCCCGCUACCCGCU